AGAACGAACGCUGGCGGCAGGCCUAACACAUGCAAGUCGAACGCCCCGCAAGGGGAGUGGCAGACGGGUGAGUAACGCGUGGGAACCUUCCCUAUGGUUCGGAAUAGCUCAGGGAAACCUGGGGUAAUACCGGAUAAGCCCUUCGGGGGAAAGAUUUAUCGCCAUUGGAUGGGCCCGCGUAGGAUUAGCUAGUUGGUGAGGUAACGGCUCACCAAGGCGACGAUCCUUAGCUGGUCUGAGAGGAUGAUCAGCCACACUGGGACUGAGACACGGCCCAGACUCCUACGGGAGGCAGCAGUGGGGAAUAUUGGACAAUGGGCGAAAGCCUGAUCCAGCCAUGCCGCGUGAGUGACGAAGGCCUUAGGGUUGUAAAGCUUCGUUUUGGCGGGGAAGAUAAGUGACGGUACCCGCGAAGAACUAAGCUCCGGCUUAACUUCGUGCCCAGCAGCCGAC
rnacentral:rRNA from 1 species